UUUGUGUGCCAAUAUGAAUGCAGCUCCUACAAUGGAGGUGGAGGGGCAGCUAUCACCUGCAUGGGUGAAAAAGAAGUGGGAGGACCUGAAGCAAAAUACUUACACUUAUUGCUGUGCUUGGCUAAUAAAGUUCCCCUUUUCUCUGAAGCAACAACACUUUCCCAUCUAUUUCCUAUGCUUCACUGGCACAUUCAUGUGUUGAAAGCUCCCCCCACCGGAGUCAGCACGGAGGGAGGGGAGGCCACAGCCACAUCCUGGAAGUGGUAUGCGGGGAUGGGUGAGGCGCUGCAGGGGCUCUCACUCUAUCACCCCACCGGUCAUCAUCUCUUCUGUUCUUCUGUUUUUGGUGAAGUCCUUUAAACUCAAAGUGGAUUUCUGUUUUCUCAUUGAAAACUGUUUGUUUGUAAUAAAAUAAAAAAAUUGAUA